rnacentral:lncRNA from 1 species
CUCUUCUCGCGUGUCGGUGUCCACCCACGAGCUCUGCCCUUGAAAGCACACUGAUUCUCUGAUUGCUUUCCAAAUCGAAAGCUUCACCUGCUGUUUGCAAACGUGUUCUCUUCUCGUUUGCCCUGUGAUUGAACAAACAGGCAUUGAUUUCUGUCUCUGUUAAAAAAAAAAAAAAAAAGAAACAACAUCCCACAGAUAUUAGAUACCAGAUGCCUCCCUGCCUGCUCGGUGAAGAAUUUAACAGAGUGAUCUUUUCAAAAUAAUACAUAGGAAGACUCUGUGAUUCCCACGCCGCCUGUGGGUGGAUUCCUGAAUGGAAAGCGUUGAAAUGGAUGUGACAGAUGGAACAGGAGUGCAAAGUGAAGAGAGAGAGAGAGAGAGACAGAGAGAGAGAGAGCCACCGAGAGACAGAGACACAGGGACACAGAGAGAUGGCUUCUGCUUCUUGGUGGGAACAUCGCAGAAUAACUCCAAAUUCUCUGAAUUUAUUUACUAUUUCUAGAUUCUUGCAUCGACUCACUGAUACAUUAAAUCAAU